rnacentral:rRNA from 1 species
UACGUAGGGGGCAAGCGUUGUCCGGAUUUAUUGGGCGUAAAGAGCGUGUAGGCGGCUUGGCAAGUCCGCUGUGAAAACUCGAGGCUCAACCUCGAGACGUCGGUGGAAACUGCCUCGCUAGAGUCCGGAAGAGGAGGGUGGAAUUCCUGGUGUAGCGGUGAAAUGCGCAGAUAUCAGGAAGAACACCCAUGGCUAAGGCGGCUCUCUAGUACGGUACUGACGCUGAGACGCGAAAGCGUGGGGAGCGAACAGG